rnacentral:lncRNA from 1 species
UCCCCUCUUUGACGGUUAUCAUUAUCCAAUAUUCGGUAUUGAUAUUCCCUCCUUCUUUUGGAUAAUUGCUCUGAUUAAGCAAUUUUAUCCCCAGCGGGUCCUCUUUCAUUUACCGUUUUCCGGUGAUGUUUGUUGCUCCCCUUGUUUGGUCAUCAUUAUAUACCUAGUUUUGGUAUCCCGAUGCCUUCCUCUGUCGGUCAAUUUAUCCUUUAU